UACGAAGGGGGCUAGCGUUGCUCGGAAUCACUGGGCGUAAAGGGUGCGUAGGCGGGUCUUUAAGUCAGGGGUGAAAUCCUGGAGCUCAACUCCAGAACUGCCUUUGAUACUGAAUAUCUUGAGUUCGGGAGAGGUGAGUGGAACUGCGAGUGUAGAGGUGAAAUUCGUAGAUAUUCGCAAGAACACCAGUGGCGAAGGCGGCUUCCUGGACACCAACUGACGCUGAGACGCGAAAGCGUGGGGAGCAAACAGG
rnacentral:rRNA from 1 species